rnacentral:rRNA from 1 species
ACUGAAUAGAUACCCAGGUAGUCCACGCAGGUAAACGAGUGAUUACUAGCUGUUUGCGAUACACAGUAAAGCGGCACAGCGAAAGCGUUAAGUAAUCCACCUGGGGAGUACGCCGGCAACGGUGAAACUCAAAGGAAUUGACGGGGGCCCGCACAAGCGGAGGAACAUGUGGUUUAAUUCGAUGAUACGCGAGGAACCUUACCCGGGUUUGAACGUAGGGAGACAGGGGUGGAAACAUCCUUUCAGCAAUGACUGCCUACGAGGUGCUGCAUGGUUGUCGUCAGCUCGUGCCGUGAGGUGUCGGCUUAAGUGCCAUAACGAGCGCAACCCUUAUUUCCAGUUACUAACAGGUGAUGCUGAGGACUCUGGGGGAGACUGCCAGCGUAAGCUGUGAGGAAGGUGGGGAUGACGUCAAAUCAGCACGGCCCUUACAUCCGGGGUCGACACACGUGUUACAAUGGUAAGGACAAAGGGUCAGCUACCGGGCGACCGGAUGCGAAUCUCUAAACCUUAUCUCAGUUCGGAUCGGAGU